ensembl:lncRNA
UAUAAUGCUAGUGUUAGGGUUUUGCAAGGUUUGUUAUUAUGCUAACGUUAGGAUUGGGCUACUUUUACUAUUGUCCUAAAGUUAGGGUUACUAUGAUGCGAUUGUUAUGGUUUGGCUAGGGUUACUUUUAUGUGAGUUUUAGGGUUUGGCUAGGAUUACUAUUAUGUGAGUCUUAGCAUUUGGCUAGGGUUACUAUAAUGCAAGUAUUAGGGUUUGGCUAGGGUUACAAUAUUGUGAGUGUUAGGGUUUGGCUUAGGUUUUUAAUAUGCUACUGUUAGGGUUGUGCUCGAGCUACGAUAAUGCAAGUUGUAAGUUUUGGCUCUGGUUACUAUAUUGCGAGUGUUAGGGUUUGCCUAGGGGUACUAUAAUGCUAGUGUUAUGCUAGGUUUACUAUUAUGCUAGGGUUGGGCUAGGGACGGAGCCCAACGGAGCACCUUUUAUAUACACACAGUGGUUUCACUCUUCAGAAGCCUGCCAGGCCAAAAUAAUAAACAAAAAUACUCUCUAACUUUACCAAAAGACAACUAACUAAACUACAAGAAAAGAAAACAAAAAUACAUUGUCUUCCCUCACUCCCUAGCUAACCAAAAACCAGGAGAAAAGAAGAAUCAACACAAAUGGUGCCGACUUCCUAUUAGUGUGUUAAUUAACAAAAUAAUAUAUACAUAUAUACACAAGUGUAUCACACGGAUCGUAACGGGGCAGAGCAUAAACAAAGUGAAAUCAGACAUAGGAUCCUACACAGGCGAAAUAGUCAUACACAGGCGAAAAGCACUUCUCUCUACACACAACGCAAUGGAAAUGAUCUGCCCUGGGAUGGAGACUGAUGAGUCUUAAGUACACUUCCGGAAACGUGCAGGCAACCAAUCCUGUUGCACAAGGCCAGAGCAGGCGUGGACGUGAUCAUCCACUAGCAAGCCAGAAUGUGACGCAUGCAGUAGGCGGGGCCUAGAGAAGGGGAAGGAGACAAAAGAAAUCCAUCCCACCACCGACAUAGACACACAAAUGACAUAGAGAGCAAAGAGAAAUACAUUUGAUAACAUGACAGGUUUGGCUAGGGUUACUAUAAUGCAAGUGUCACGGUUUGGCUAGGGUUAAUAUUAUGCUAGGAUUAGGGUUUGGCUAGGGUAUACUGUUACAUCAUGGUCCUUACACAACCCUGAACCCAUAUUUAACUGAUGCGAUUCAUUAUAGUGCAUUAUAGUAGCCUUACAGUAGGCUGAAUGAAAGUUUAAUUCUGUCACACCAGGUUGUUAAUCAUAGACAUAUUCAGAGUCCAAACUGCAAU